rnacentral:rRNA from 1 species
GACGAACGCUGGCGGCGUGCUUAACACAUGCAAGUCGAACGAAGUAGCGAACGGGUGAGUAACGCGUAAUCAACCUGCCCUUCAGAGGGGGACAACAGUUGGAAACGACUGCUAAUACCGCAUACUGAAGCAGGUGAUUGCGUCGGAUUAGCUAGUUGGAGGGGUAACGUCCCACCAAUGCGAUGAUCAGUAGGCGGUCUGGGAAGAUGAACGGCCAAAUCGGGAAUGAGGAAAGGCCCAGACUCCUACGGGAGGCAGCAGUGGGGAAACUUCCGAAAUGGACGAAAGUCUGACGGAGCAAAGCCGCGGGAGUGAUGACGGCCUUCGGGUUGUAAAGCUCUGUUAAUCGGGACGCGGUACCGGAAUAGAAAGCAACGGCUAACUACGUGCCAGCAGCCGCGGUAAUAC